rnacentral:rRNA from 1 species
GACGAACGCUGGCGGCGUGCUUAACACAUGCAAGUCGAACGGGCCUUGUCCCCUUUUUUUUUGGGGGUGGGGUUAGUGGCGAACGGGUGAGUAACACGUGAGUAACCUGCCCCUCACUUCUGGAUAACCGCUUGAAAGGGUGGCUAAUACGGGGUGUUCUGGCCUUCUCGCAUGGUUGGGUUUGGAAAGAUUCGACCGGUUUUGGUUUUUUUGUUGGGGGAUGGGCUCGCGGCCUAUCAGCUUGUUGGUGGGGUGAUGGCCUGCCAAGGCUUUGACGGGUAGCCGGCCUGAGAGGGUGGGCGGUCACACUGGGACUGAGACACGGCCCAGACUCCUACGGGAGGCAGCAGUGGGGAAUAUUGCACAAUGGGCGCAAGCCUGAUGCAGCGACGCCGCGUGAGGGAUGGAGGCCUUCGGGUUGUGAACCUCUUUCGCCAGUGAAGAAGGUCCUGCUCUUUGUGGUGGGGUUGACGGUAGCUGGGUUAAUGAAGCGCCGGCUAACUACGUG